ACCAAAUCUAUUCGUCUGGCUCUAAUUUUCCACUAAAAAACACAAUUUGUUCGUCACGAGGCUCAACCGUAGAAAUUGCCUUUAAUGUGCAGUUUACUUAUCUUUAAUUCUUUAUCGUGAAUUCUACAAGAUGCUCCAACUGGAUGACCCGAUUUUCAUUAAGGUGCUAUGCAUGUUUUCUUUAAUUUUACUCGGCACUCAUUUCAGUUCUUCUCCUCUCUCUGUCACUCUGAAAUGGGGAUUUCAUAAGUUCUACCACCGUCGUGAUAGUGCAGGAGAUUCAUAGUUCAGUGGACAUGUAAUAGCCUCAAAAUUCCUUACAGAUGAUUCUUCCAAAAAUCGCAAUGCUGAGAAAAAGCAAGUGAUGUAAGGAGAUCAAAUUUUAGCUGAAAAAGCUUAAGGACAGUGUUUGUGAUGCUGAUGACAUAAUGGAGGAAUCCUCUUAGGAAACCUAUUGCGUCUGCACCGAUAUACAGUUCGAAGCUGGCUAAAUUUCCGUCAGUAAUUAACUGAUUGCCAUGAUGACUUGUCGUCUCAUUAAAAUAAGAAAAGUUCUGUUGUGGUAUGAUGUAAACAACCUUUGUCAUUAUGAUCCGUUAAACUGCAACCUUAAAAAGAAGUAGUCGAUGAUCAUGCUGUGAGCUUCCAAGAUUUUCAAGCAAUUAUAUAUAUGAAAACCAAUGUUUCGUUGAAAAGAGAUUGAUGUGGAUCAAAAUAAUUGGAGAGUGUUUGCAGUCAUUGAAUAUUUGAUAUGUUACUGCACCGAACAAAUUAUUAUAUGGACGGAUCAUUAAUUCAGCACGCACUCUCAUUCUACUGGUUGAUGGUUGGUAAAUCUUGUAGGCGGAUUCAAAAUGCCCUUGCCAUCAAGCUUGCUUGUAUGCCUGAACAUUUUGUUGAAGAUGCAAUGGGACUGCUCAUUUUUGUAUCUCGGAUACCUAGAGCUCUGGAUGGGUUUAUGCUGGAUGAUUUUAUGAACUUCAUUAUAAUGUUUAUGGAGGGAAGUCCCUACUGUAUCCUUAUCUCAGAGCAAAGAUGGUAGAAGUCUUGAUCUGCUGGAUGCCAGAAGGAAGUGGUUCAUCUUCAACAGCUUCUCUUUUGAAGCUCAUCAAUUUUUCCUUGAGUUUCUUGUCGGGAAUCUUUUGAAGCUUCACGUACAUACUCAGUUUUAUGACAAGCUCAACAUACGUCAUAAUAUGACUUCUGGGGUAUCUAUGGCAGGUUCCUAGCCAUCACAAUGCAUUAGUAAAGAUUGCCAAAGAAGAGGAGAAGGGGUGUAUUUGAACUUUCUCAAAGCAUGUUUCUUGUAGACAGAAGUCUAAACAGAAUUCUUAAACUGAAAGAGAUAGAAAAGAGAAUUCUGAAACUGAAAGAGAUAGAAAAGAGAAUUCUGAAACUGAAAGAGAUAGAAAAGAGACGGUGAAUACCGUGGAAUGGGAAAGGAGGUCAUCUCAAGAGAGGCAAGAGAGAACCCGACAGUUCCAUUCUCAAGAGAAUGUUUUCUUUAAUUUUACUCAGCAAUCAUUUCAGUUCUCCUUUUCAUAAGUUCUACCCCAUUAUAUUUCGAUGCAA